GAGGGAUUUUGCAACCUUCCUUUGGCUUUUGUCACCUAUGGAAAACUACAAACCAGCUUGCCUAUCCGGUGAUUGGAACCAGGAGGAUUGCCGGCCUUGGGUCUGGAAAUCCUAUCCCAUGUGUCUUCCUUCCUCCCUCCCUCCCUUCCUUGGUUCCUUCCUUCCCCUGACUAGGCCCCAGAGGGGUGGGGAGGCCUUCCUGGGCCUGGCAUCAGGGCUCCUGGGCUCCCAGCCAAGUGUCCAGAGGUCACUCCUCCUGGCAUCUGGAUCCUUCUUAUCUUCCUGAGACAUAGGAGGCUCCUGCUCUGGAGAUGACUGAAGGGAAAACACCUGUAUUUCCAGGGCCUUGGAAAUAGCCUGCUCCAGCCGGCCUUCCCGGGAGAAACUGAGAAAGGACAUUGGUCCGAAGCAUUUCUCUUUCGGUUUGUGCUGCGCUGAGCCUGUCCUGUGAUGCGGCCCUCACCAACCAAGGACUGAACGAGAGGGACUCCAUGCGAACCUGCUCAGCAUACAGCAGGUGCCUCGUGGAUAUUCUUCCCUAAGGCUCCAGGCCAGCCAAGCACUGCAUUAACCAGGUUCGGAUGAACUUUAGAAUGUACGCAUCUGAGCUGUCAUAGUUUUUUGUUUUCUUGUUUUUUUGAGAUGGAGUUUCGCUCUUUCACCCAGGCUGGAGUGAAAUGCCGCGAUCUCAGCUCACUGCAACCUCUGCCUCCUGGGUUCAAGCCAUUCUCCUGCCUCAGCCUCCCAAGUAUCUGCGAUUACAGGCUCCUGCCACCAUGUCCAGCUAAUUUUUUGUAUUUUUAGUAGAGACAGGGUUUCACCAUGUUGGCCAGGCUGGUCUUGAAUUCCUGACCUCAGGUGAUCCACCCACCUCGGCCUCCCAAAAUGCUGGGAUUACAGGCAUGAACCACUCUACCUGACCCAUAGUUCUUAAAUUUAAAAUCUUGAUAUGCUGGUGGAUAUGCAGCUUGAUUUCUUUAAGCCGACAUGGCCUGACUUUUUCAGAUUCUCAGCCUGUGUUGGAGGGCUGUUGAGUGUUCUUUCUAUGCAGAAAGUACGCCUGCCGUCCUCUGUUUUGUAAUCGCCACCCCAUCCCUGCCCAACACACACACCCACACAGCCGCAGUUACGCCGGGUCCAGCAACGCACGAACCAAGUGGAAGGUCAAGGGCUGGGGCUCCGUUUCCCUCCCCUUGAAGCUGUUUGGUUUGCUCUUGUCCCAGCCCCUGACUGAGCCGCCAGCCCAGAACGGGGGCAGCCCUCCCCCAUGCAGUCAGGGCCAGAGGAGCAUAAUAUUGCCCCCCCGGGUGCAGCCUUAGGUGCAGGAGCGUUGGGAAUUUUCCAUCUUGCUCUGCAGCCUGGCUUCUUAGGUCAUCGUCCUGCUGCUGACAUAGGCCUGGGUUGGGCGAGUUUCCUGCAGGUCAGCGAGGGCGCGGAGGCAGCGCCUGAGCCUGCUCAGGGCCUGGCUUCCUGCCUGCUGUGAGGAAGGGUGGAGGAGGGGUUCGAGGCCUCAACCAUCCCUUGGCCCAGAGCCUCAGGCCAAGCAGCCUCCGCCUCUGCCCAGGCCUGUCUCCUCCCGGCCUCCUGCUCUCCUGUUUCCUAAAGCUUUCCCGCUGGGUGGCUCCCAGUUCUUCCAGAAAUCCCCUCCAGGAAAUUUGCUUGUUGCCACAAAAUAAUGCAAAUCUGUUCCUGGGGCCGCCCAGGCAACCUGCAGUCUCUGUCUCCCCAAGACCUGAGGAGGGAGGGCGAGGCAGGCCCUGUGCCCGUCAGGGUCCCUUUUCCAGCCAUGAGGACAAAGGAUAAGCCGCACCCUCGUCACCCUCUCAUAAGCUGCAAGAGAAAGUUCCUGGUUUUACCUCUAAGGGAACCAGCUCCACCUAGGGAAAGGCCACACAGGACCCUCAAAGGCACCAAGGUCUUUUUUCUAUUUAAUAUCUAAAACAGUCUGAAUAUAUUAAAGUUUAUGCUCAUGUUUGGCAUUUGUUUAUCUGUUUCUCGAACUUCAACUCCCUGCCGUGUCUGGAGCAGAAAGUGAAGGCCCAUGGAUAACACUUCUGCGUGCCACAGUCCUAGGUGGUGACCAAUGCAGGGAUGCACAGGUGCCGUGUGGCCUUCUGCAGGCCAGGCCCCACAGAGACCCACAGUCAAGGUGGCCUGAGACCCUUGAACAAGGAGCUUGUGGCCAGAGAAAGGCUAAAUGCAGCACCCCCACCCCUGUGGCUAGUGCCAGGGCCCCACCUGAAUGCUCUGCAGUUGGGUCCCCCCAGGCCAUCUCCAGAGGAGAACGCAAGUGGGCUAGGGAGGGAACAG
rnacentral:lncRNA from 1 species